GACGGAGGAUGCAAGUGUUAUCCGGAAUUACUGGGCGUAAAGCGUCUGUAGGCGGUUUAAUAAGUCCACUGUUAAAUCUUGAGGCUCAACCUCAAAAUCGCAGUCGAAACUAUUAGGCUAGAGUAUAGUAGGGGUAAAGGGAAUUUCCAGUGGAGCGGUGAAAUGCGUAGAGAUUGGAAAGAACACCGAUGGCGAAGGCGCUUUACUGGGCUAUUACUAACGCUCAGAGACGAAAGCUAGGGUAGCAAAUGGG
rnacentral:rRNA from 1 species